rnacentral:rRNA from 1 species
CCUACGGGGGGCAGCAGUGGGGAAUAUUGCGCAAUGGGCGCAAGCCUGAUGCAGCCAUGCCGCGUGUGUGAAGAAGGCCUUCGGGUUGUAAAGCACUUUCAGCGGGGAGGAAGGCGUUAAGGUUAAUAACCUUGGCGAUUGACGUUACCCGCAGAAGAAGCACCGGCUAACUCCGUGCCAGCAGCCGCGGUAAUACGGAGGGUGCAAGCGUUAAUCGGAAUUACUGGGCGUAAAGCGCACGCAGGCGGUCUGUCAAGUCGGAUGUGAAAUCCCCGGGCUCAACCUGGGAACUGCAUUCGAAACUGGCAGGCUAGAGUCUUGUAGAGGGGGGUAGAAUUCCAGGUGUAGCGGUGAAAUGCGUAGAGAUCUGGAGGAAUACCGGUGGCGAAGGCGGCCCCCUGGACAAAGACUGACGCUCAGGUGCGAAAGCGUGGGGAGCAAACAGGAGUAGAUACCCGAGUAGUC